ACUCCUACGGGAGGCAGCAGUGGGGAAUAUUGGACAAUGGGGGCAACCCUGAUCCAGCAACGCCGCGUGGAGGAUGAAGGCCUUCGGGUCGUAAACUCCUGUCAGUAGGGACGAAAAGCCCUGGGUUAACAGCCUUGGGUCAUGACGGUACCUGCAGAGGAAGCCCCGGCUAACUCCGUGCCAGCAGCCGCGGUAAU
rnacentral:rRNA from 1 species